rnacentral:rRNA from 1 species
AAACUUAAAGGAAUUGACGGGGGCCCGCACAAGCGGUGGAGCAUGUGGUUUAAUUCGAAGCAACGCGAAGAACCUUACCAGGUCUUGACAUCCCGAUGCUAUUUCUAGAGAUAGAAAGUUACUUCGGUACAUCGGUGACAGGUGGUGCAUGGUUGUCGUCAGCUCGUGUCGUGAGAUGUUGGGUUAAGUCCCGCAACGAGCGCAACCCUUGCCAUUAGUUGCUACGAAAGGGCACUCUAAUGGGACUGCCGGUGACAAACCGGAGGAAGGUGGGGAUGACGUCAAGUCCUCAUGGCCCUUAUAGGUGGGGCUACACACGUCAUACAAUGGCCGGUACAGAGGGUAGCCAACCCGCGAGGGGGAGCCAAUCCCACAAAGCCGGUCGUAGUCCGGAUCGCAGUCUGCAACUCGACUGCGUGAAGUCGGAAUCGCUAGUAAUCGCGGAUCAGCAUGUCGCGGUGAAUACGUUCCCGGGUCUU